AUUUGCUUUGCUAAGCUCAUUGCUGACGCCUUUCAACAUCUCUACCCUUUUGUCCUCUGCCGAUCAAUCCCACCACAUGAUUACAAAACCUGACGGCCUCUGCCCGGCUUGUCUUCAUCUUCCCAACACAUAUUCCACUUCCCCAUUCAAUCAGUAGUUCUGUAAUGGAUCAUUCUCUUGAUUUCCUCGUGGGGUCGACCAGCGUGGUGCUCUUCUCGAGCUCUGUCCUGGGUCUGGUAUUGCUGUCCCUCUGUUUGGCUCUAGCAAGGCUCGUGUACAAGCUAUGGUGGAACCCGAUCCGAAUACAGAGGAUGAUGGCUGCUCAGGGAAUAAAGGGUCCUUCCUACAGGUUCCUCCAUGGAAACACCAAGGAGAUCUUUACGAUGAGAAAGGAAGCCAUGGAGAGGCCCAUGGCUAGCCACCUCUCUCAUGACGUACUUCCUAGGCUUCAGCCCCACAUCCGUACUUGGGUCGACACUUACGGGCCGAAUUACCUGUACUGGUUUGGUCCUCAGCCUCAACUGGUUGUCACAGAGCCUGAGAUGAUCAAAGAGGUUCUAAACAACAAACAUAACAACUACCAAAAGAUCAAAACCUCGGGCUUUGCAAAGAAGCUCCUGGGUGAUAGCCUGGUGACUUCGGCAGGAGAAAAAUGGGUGAAACAACGGAAGCUGGCCAAUCACGCCUUCCAUGGCGAAAGCUUAAAAAGUUCGUUUCCAGCAGUGGUGGACAGCGUUCAUAUGAUGCUCGAAAAAUGGAAAGAUCAUGAAGGCAAAGAAAUCGAGGUCUUUGAAGAGUUCAUAUUCUUGACAUCAGAGGUCAUUUCGAGAACGGCGUUCGGGAGCAGCUACGUCGAGGGCAGAAAUAUUUUCGAGAUGUUGAGAGGGCUGGGUGUAUUAACAUCCAGAAAUGCUUUCAAACUGAGGCUUCCUGGCAUGAGUAAGAUUUGGAAAACAGCAGAUGAAGUCGAGGGAGAGAAGCUUGAGAAAGGAAUACGCGAUGCUAUAUUACGGAUAAUCAAGAAGAGAGAGGAAAAGAUUGCUUCUGGGGAGUUAGAUGGGUACGGGAAUGACUUCCUAGGUUUACUCAUGCAGGCUUUUCUUGAAGAGGACAGGAACGAGAGAAUCACAAUUGACUACGUGGUGGAUGAAUGCAAGACGUUUUAUGUAGCCGGACAAGAAACAACAAACACUAUGCUCACAUGGACGCUGUUCCUCCUUGCGGUUUAUACAGAUUGGCAAGAAGAGGCAAGGAAGGACGUGCUCAAUGUGUUCGGCCAGCGAGAUCCGUAUCAUGAUGGCGUCACCAAAUUGAAGACAAUGACCAUGAUCAUCAAUGAGUCACUACGACUGUACACUCCGGUGACUUCACUGACCCGAGAAGUUAGCAGGCAAGAUAGGCUCGGGAAGCUCGUCGUUCCUGCCAAUAUGCAUAUUUUCAUUGCAAACCUCAAGGUCCAUCAUGACCCUCAAAUAUGGGGAGAAGAUGCUCAUCUCUUUAAGCCCGAGAGGUUCUCAGAGGGUGUUGCUAAAGCCACCAACAAUAAUCAAGCCGUCUUCCUGCCAUUCGGGAUGGGGCCUCGGAACUGUGUGGGGAUGAACUUUGCAAUCACCGAAGCGAAAACUGCCCUUUCCAUGAUUCUCCAGCGGUAUAGCUUCACACUGUCCCCGGCCUAUGUUCACUCACCGACUCAGAUCCUAACAACUCGUCCACAGCAUGGAGUUCACGUGAUUCUUCACCCUCUUCAUAGGGAAGAAUAGAGUAGCCAGCUGCAGAUGUUACGUCUAUUUAAAGAGUUACAUCAGGUAACACUUCUUUUCUUCUUUUACUGUUUUUGGAUUUUUGAAAAAUUGACAUCGCCGACCUCCGGUGUUUAUCGGCAUGGCUACCCUUGCAAGGCGCAACCCCCACCAAAUGAGAGGGGACAAAUAACCACCCCCCAACAAACUUCUUUGUCGACUUAUAUCUUACCUCAGCACGCAGCUAGAGCUAUAAAUACCUUGCACGCCCAGAUUCGGUUUUCUAUCCCAAAAGAGGCCUAUGAAUUUAACAUAAGGCAAUAAAAAAUCUAAAUAAAUAAGGAUACAUGUAAUUCCGCUAAUGAGGGUUGGAUUCGGCUCAACCUUUCCCUCCACAUGCUCAAACAUGACACACGUUCUGCCCUCCCUCACACAGAUCACCCCUUGCCAGAAUUUUGUCCAGUUCUCAUACCUCCAUCGUACCCCGCCAGGCACACUGCCUCGUGAGGACCGUUCCUCACCAUGUGUUGAAGGAAGUUCAACACAAUUACCUAAAAAAGGGGUCAAAAUUAACUAUCCAUAGGAAGAAACGUCGGAGGGAUUCAUUGCAGUUUCAUCAUCUUGACAAGAUCAAUAAAAAUCGGAAAAAAAGUUGUUCUAGAACGUCAAGCUUGACAUGUAAAGUUGUUUCAGAAGAUAUAUUUGACUUCUCUGGGGCUGCCAGGAAAAAUAAACCUGCACGGAUUCCGGAACGGGAAAGAGUUGAGACUAAACUUGAAAGAAUCAACUGAAUCCUUGUUUUAAUCCCUAGGGAACGAAAGAACCACUGCUGUGUAAUAUUCGAUUUCAAAGCAAGGGACGUUAUAACGGAGCUGGACCGUAGGUAGCAAUUCGAACGUGUUCGAUGUCUAUGGGACAGAUGUGCUCAAGGCUGAAAAACCAACUCAACUCAACUCAACAACCUCUCUCUAGGUCAAGGAAUACAGACAAGUGAACGUUUGGACAUAACUCCAAAAUUUGGGAGUCCUCUGUGCUUGGCUGCUUUUCUUCUUCUUCUUCUUCUUCUUCUUCUUCCUCCCCCAAGCAUAUUCCGAUUGGACAGAAACUGUCAUUUACCUCAUGAGGUCGAACAAUGAGGUCAUGGUGUUCCUCUCCAGCCCCUUGUUACUGUCGGGUCUGUCACUGCUGUCCCUACGUUUGUUCUCUUCUGAGGGUUGUGUACAAGCUAUGGUGGAACCCGAUCCGGAUAGAGAGGAUGAUGGCAGCUCAGGGAUUCGAGGGUCCACCAUACAGGUUCCCACAUGGUAACACCAAGGAGAUCCUUCGGAUGAGGAAGGAAGCCAUGGGGAGGCCCCACGAGCCGCCAUCUAUCUCACGACAUACUGCCCAUCAUUCAGCCCGACAUUCAUACUUGGGUCAGCACCCGUGGGCCGAAAUACCUUCGCUGGCUUGGUCCUCAGCCUCACCUAGUUGUACUGAGCCUGAGAUAUCAAAGAGAUUCUAAACAACAAAGAUAAGAAUUUUGUGAAAAUCAAACCCUGAGGCUUUGUUAAGAAACUUGUAGGUGAUGGCCUCGUGGUGUCGGAAGGAGAAAAAUGGGUGAAACUUCGAAAGCUGGCCAAUCAUGCCUUCCAUGGUGAAAUCCUGAAAAGUUCAGUUCCAGCUGUUGUCGACAGUGUUCAUAGAUGCUGGAGAAAUGGGAAGAUCAUGAAAGUACAGAAAUCGAGGUCUUCGAAGAGUUCAUAUUGUUGACUUCGGAGGUGAUCUCGUAAACACAUUUGGAAGCAGCUAUAUUGAGGGGAGGAAUAUUUUCAAGAUGUUGAAGGGGCUGAGUGUAUUAGGAGCCAGGAAUGCUUUCAAAGUUAGGCUUCCUGCAUAAGUUCGGGGAUGUUUCAAUACCUAAUCAAGAAUAGGACCUCAGCAGGCUGAAACUGGCAAAAGAUUUUGACUUGAAGAGGCCACAGAAGAGGAACCUUGUGGAAAAAUCGGGAGCAACAGGCUUGGUCUCCUCCUUAGGACCCGCCUUUUACUUGGAGUACGGACUUCCUGAUUGAUUUCUGAUGGAAUCUAUGGUCCUAGCAUCAAUAGGGCAUCCCCAAUGCGUUCUGAACACUACCCUCUUCCCAUUUGUUGUGACUACGGCUCUCAUGAGUGGGAGGCCGCUCUCCCGGAAAAUCUGGGUCACAUCCAAGAGAAGGCCGACUGUGUCUUUUGUGCAGACAUCCAAAUUCAAGUCCUGAAUUGGAGAGACGACAUUUAUAUGAACAUUUCCAAGCUUAGACUCCAAUCGACAAAUUAAACAGCUCUCAAGCUAAAAUCAUCUAACCUCGGAUACCCAUCUUCUGAUGGCAGCUUUUGGCACCGCAUCAACCUCUGCCUCUCCGCAUCCGUUUACAUGGGUGGCCCAUCUUUAUGCCUGAUAUGGGUGGUGGACCCGAUGGGAGACCUUGUAUCAGCAUCUGUAACGUGGAUUAUGGAAGCUGCUCGAAUGUUGUGGGUCCAGACCUCUCCUCUCCGCUCACUAUGUUGCAGCUGAGAUCAGUGAGCACAGCAUUCACAUCUGAGAGACGGCCAGGUCUGUCGCUUCCUAGCGGUUCGAUUGUCGUGUAUUCGAUGGAUGGCUUGAGGCCUAUUGAUAUACUGGAGAAUAGGAUGCUCAGUUCUGGGACAAGCACCUGAAAUCCAUAGAAGAAGUAUUAAGAGACGACAAGCUUCAAGUAGGCGAAACUGGCAGAAUGAAAAUUUGUUCUUCGCUCAUAGUCUACCGAAAAUAAAAGCUGGAAAUUUACGUGGGACCUAUUGCUUGUUUUCUCCAAAGGUCCUGAUAUCGUGAAGCAUGGGUCUGUUUUGAUUUUCA